GACGAACGCUGGCGGCGUGCCUAAUACAUGCAAGUAGAACGCUGAAGGAGGAGCUUGCUCUUCUGGAUGAGUUGCGAACGGGUGAGUAACGCGUAGGUAACCUGCCUGGUAGCGGGGGAUAACUAUUGGAAACGAUAGCUAAUACCGCAUAACAUUGACUAUUGCAUGAUAGUUAAUUGAAAGGUGCAAAUGCACCACUACCAGAUGGACCUGCGUUGUAUUAGCUAGUUGGUGGGGUAACGGCUCACCAAGGCGACGAUACAUAGCCGACCUGAGAGGGUGAUCGGCCACACUGGGACUGAGACACGGCCCAGACUCCUACGGGAGGCAGCAGUAGGGAAUCUUCGGCAAUGGACGGAAGUCUGACCGAGCAACGCCGCGUGAGUGAAGAAGGUUUUCGGAUCGUAAAGCUCUGUUGUAAGAGAAGAACGAGUGUGAGAGUGAAAGUUCACAACUGUGACGGU
rnacentral:rRNA from 1 species